rnacentral:rRNA from 1 species
CCUACGGGUGGCAGCAGUAGGGAAUAUUGCUCAAUGGGCGAAACCCUGAAGCAGCAACGCCGCGUGAAGGAUGAAGGCUUUCGGGUUGUAAACUUCUUUUGAUAGGGAAGAAAAUGACGGUAUCUAACCUAUUAUCACUGGCCAAUACCGUUCCAGCAGCCGCGGUACUACGCCGGGUGCAAGCGUUACCCGGAAGUAAUGGGCGUAAAGAGGGCGUAGGCGGGUUAACAAGUCAGUCGUGAAAUCCUUUGGCUUAACCAUAGAACUGCAUUUGAAACUGUAAUUCUAGAGUAUAGGAGAGGUAGGCGGAAUUCUUGGUGGAGCGGUGAAAUGCGUAGAUAUCACGAGGAAUACUGAUUGCGAAGGCGGCCUGCUGGACUGUAACUGACGCUGAUGCGCGAAAGCGUGGGGAGCAAACAGGAUUAGAUACCCGAGUAGUC